rnacentral:rRNA from 1 species
UACGGAGGGUGCAAGCGUUAUCCGGAUUCACUGGGUUUAAAGGGUGCGUAGGCGGGCAGGUAAGUCCGUGGUGAAAUCUCUGAGCUUAACUCAGAAACUGCCAUGGAUGCUAUUUGUCUUGAAUGUUGUGGAGGUAAGCGGAAUAUGUCAUGUAGCGGUGAAAUGCUUAGAUAUCAGGAAGAACACCCGUGGCGAAGGCGGCUCUCUGGGACGGUACUGACGCUGAGACGCGAAAGCGUGGGGAGCAAACAGG